rnacentral:rRNA from 1 species
AGUAUAUAAUAAUUACGAAAGCAAAAAAUUAUGGCGGUAUUUUAAGCUUUUCAGAGGAAUUUGCUCUUUAAUGGAUAAAACACCUAAAUCUUACUUAAAUUUGUUAAAUCAACUUGUAUACCACUAUUAAAACAAUUAUUAACUCUAAUUGUUAAUAUUUAAAAACAUAAAUUAAUUUAAAUUAAGUCAAGGUGCAGUAAAAAUUUAAGAAUGAAGUGAAUUACAUUACUUUUAAGGGAAAUAAAAUUAAAUAAAGUUUAGGAUUUGAAAGUAAAAUUAAAAUAGAAUGUUAAUUUGAAUUAAGCUCUAAAAUAUGUACAUAUCGCCCGUCACUCUUUUUUAAGA